AAACCAGUUCGAUAAUGGCGGUUAAAAACAGCUCUCUCCCACUGCCUUCAUUCCUGCUUUCCCUCUCUCUGUCUGACCCAACACAAAAUGGUGUUCCUAUUUCAUCUCACACAAUCCCAUUCCCCCCCUCUCUUUCAUCUCCAGAUUAACAGUACUUACACCUACAAUACCUCAAAUGCUAACCCUUUUUCCGUUUCCUUUUGCAAAUCAUCCUCUACACCCACCACAACCGCCACUGCCACUUCCCCCAACGGCCGCCCUCCCCCAACUAAAUUCACCUCUCUCGUAUCCCUCAAGCCCUACCUUCAGUCCGACUGGCGGCCAAUUCUAUCCGGCUGGGUCUGCAGCGCUGUCUCUGUCUACUCCCUCUCCAAAAUAGUCCCCCUGGUGGGAAAAUUUCCUUCUUUAUUGACCACUGCGAAUCCGAUGCACCUGAGAAAAGAGGGUUUGGUUUUGGGGGUUCUUGUUUUGGUUCGUAUUAUUGCGAGUUAUCUGCAGCAGGCGUUUUUGUGGGAGGCUGCAUUGAAUUGUGUUUAUAAGAUCAGGGUUUAUGUAUUUAACAGGGUUUUGCAAAGGGACUUGGGGUUCUUUGAAGGUGAGAAGGGGGUUUUGCCUGGGGAUAUUGCUUAUAGAAUAACGGCUGAGGCCUCGGAUGUUGGUGACACUGUUUAUUCUCUCUUGGAUACAAUUGUACCCAGCACUUUGCAGUUUGCUGCUAUGGCUACCCAGAUGGUAAUCACGAGCCCUACUUUCUCAUUAAUAUCUGCCCUGGCGAUUCCAUCAAUGGCGUUUAUAACUGGGUAUCUUGGAGAAACGCUUCGUGAAAUAUCCAACGAGGCACAUCUCAGUAUUGCUGCCCUCUCAGCAUAUCUGAAUGAGGUCUUUCCUUCAAUUCUUUUUGUGAAGGCAAACAACACAGAAUCCUGUGAAAUUGUCAAGUUUCAAUCAAUUGCUUCCACCCAACUAUCUGCAUAUUUGAGAAAAAAGAAAAUGAAGGCCUUCAUUCCCCAUAUAGUUCAAAUAAUGUAUUUUGGGCUGUUAUUUGCAUUUGGUGUUGCCUCGCUAGUAAUUUCAAGAGGAUCUUUCAAUUGUUCUGCCAUAUUUUCAUUCAUAACAUCCCUGGUUCUGUUGAUGCAGCCAAUUCAGGGUGUGGGGAAAGCAUAUAACGAGUUAAAAGAAGGAGAACCAGCUAUUGAGCGCUUGUUAAAUUUGACCAUGUUCAAAUCACAGGUGAUUGAGAAACCAGAUGCUGUUGAAUUAGGCCCUGUUACUGGAGAAGUGAAAUUUUGUGGCGUGUCUUUCAAAUAUGGAGAUGAUAUACCUUUUGUAUUGGAUGGAUUGAAUCUUCACAUUAAAGCUGGGGAGACAAUUGCCCUUGUAGGGCCAUCUGGAGGAGGGAAGACAACUCUUGCAAAACUUCUUCUUCGUCUAUAUGAUCCUCUUUUUGGUUCCAUAUUGAUAGAUGGCAUUGACAUUCGAAAUGUACGGUUGGAAAGUUUAAGGAGACAUGUUGGUCUGGUCUCUCAAGACACAACACUUUUUGCGGGGACUAUUUCUGAGAACAUUGGGUAUAGGGAUCUAAUGACUGGUAUUGAUAUGAGAAAAGUUGAACUUGCAGCUCAAACUGCAAAUGCAGAUGAAUUCAUAAAAAAUCUUCCUGAGCAGUUUGAAACUAAUGUUGGUCCUAGGGGCUCAAAUUUUAGCGGAGGCCAGAAGCAAAGUGGAUCCAGGGGAAAGUCUAGGCAAUAGUACUUUGAAAUUUUCUCAAUGUUUAGAUGUCCCAACUUUGUAUAUCUCAGACUGGCUAUUGCAAGGGCACUGUGUCAGAACCCCACUAUCUUAAUUUUAGAUGAAGCGACUUCUGCGUUGGACAGCAGGUCAGAGCUAUUGGUGAGACAAGCUUUGCAACACCUAAUGCAGAACCGCACUGUGUUAGUCAUUGCCCACCGGUUGGAAACAGUUCUGAUGACCGAACGAGUUUUCCUUUUAAAUGAUGGGAAACUGCGGGAGGUUAGUCACUCCUCUCUUAUGGAUGAACUGCAUGGGUCACUGUCAUCGACAGAACUUGUAAUAUAACAUCUCAGAAGAGUCGAGUUUACAAGCACGAGAACAGAUCAUUGACCUCCAAGGACAUUUUCUUGCUGUUACCACCAAUCUCAGUAUUCAUUUUUUAGAUUCUGGUGUACAGUAAAAGAAUUAUGUACAAAAUUAUCCAUGUAACAAUCAUAAUUUUGCGUGUCAUGUUAUUUCUAAUAUUGAAACGGUCGAUAUUGUUGAUUAUUUGCAACUAUUAAUACCCUCAUUUGUGGUUCGCAGUAAUUGGUUUUGGAGGAAUUCUA